rnacentral:rRNA from 1 species
AGCAGCCGCGGUAAUUCCAGCUCCAAUAGCGUAUAUUAAAGUUGUUGCAGUUAAAAAGCUCGUAGUUGAAUUUCGGGAUUGACGUGAUGGUCGUGCCUUAAGGGGUAUGAACUGUUGCAGUUGAUUUCUCACCUUCUGGAAAAACUUGAUGUCCUUUAUUGGGUGUCUUGCGGAUCCAGGACCUUUACCUUGAAAAAAUUAGAGUGUUUAAAGCAGGCAUUCUUGCUCGAAUACAUUAGCAUGGAAUAAUAGAAUAGGACGGCAUGGUUCUAUUUUGUUGGUUUCUAGGAUCACCGUAAUGAUUAAUAGGGAUAGUUGGGGGCAUUAGUAUUCAAUUGUCAGAGGUGAAAUUCUUGGAUUUAUUGAAGACUAACUACUGCGAAAGCAUUUGCCAAGGAUGUUUUCAUUAAUCAAGAACGAAAGUUAGGGGAUCGAAGACGAUCAGAUACCGUCGUAGUCUUAACCAUAAACUAUGCCGACUAGGAAUCAGACGAUGUUAAUUUUUUAAUGACUCGUUUGG